UACGGGGGGGGCAAGCGUUGUUCGGAAUUACUGGGCGUAAAGGGCGUGUAGGCGGCCAACUAAGUCCGACGUGAAAUCCCCAGGCUUAACCUGGGAACUGCGUCGGAUACUGGAUGGCUUGAAUCCGGGAGAGGGAUGCAGAAUUCCAGGUGUAGCGGUGAAAUGCGUAGAUAUCAGGAAGAACACCCGUGGCGAAGGCGGUUCUCUGGGACGGUACUGACGCUGAGACGCGAAAGCGUGGGGAGCGAACAGG
rnacentral:rRNA from 1 species